AGUAGAGGCGGGGUUUCACCGUGUUGGCCAGGAUGGUCUCGAUCUCCUGACCUCAUGAUCCAUCUGCCUCGGCCUCCCAAAGUGCUGGGAUUACAGGCGUGAGCCACCGCGCCCAGCCCUCUUCCUGUAUAUUUCUUGACCCCUGUGUGGGUCCCUUUCUUGGGAAACAGUCUUAGAGACCACAGUCUGGAGACUGGGGUUGUCUCACAGGACACUCAGACAGAAAGACCUGGUCUCUCCAAAUUUCCAUUGUGGACUUGAGACACGAGAAGACACAGAACCCUCGUGAAGACAAAGGGCCCACCCUGAUGAUCCAGGACAACCUCCUCAUCUCCG